rnacentral:rRNA from 1 species
GCCAUGGGCAGGUUGAAGGUUGGGUAACACUAACUGGAGGACCGAACCGACUAAUGUUGAAAAAUUAGCGGAUGACCUGUGGCUGGGGGUGAAAGGCCAAUCAAACCGGGAGAUAGCUGGUUCUCCCCGAAAGCUAUUUAGGUAGCGCCUCGUGAAUUCAUCUCCGGGGGUAGAGCACUGUUUCGGCUAGGGGGCCAUCCCGGCUUACCAACCCGAUGCAAACUGCGAAUACCGGAGAAUGUUAUCACGGGAGACACACGGCGGGUGCUAACGUCCGUCGUGAAGAGGGAAACAACCCAGACCGCCAGCUAAGGUCCCAAAGUCAUGGUUAAGUGGGAAACGAUGUGGGAAGGCCCAGACAGCCAGGAUGUUGGCUUAGAAGCAGCCAUCAUUUAAAGAAAGCGUAAUAGCUCACUGGUCGAGUCGGCCUGCGCGGAAGAUGUAACGGGGCUAAACCAUGCACCGAAGCUGCGGCAGCGACACUGUGUGUUGUUGGGUAGGGGAGCGUUCUGUAAGCCUGUGAAGGUGUGUCGUGAGGCAUGCUGGAGGUAUCAGAAGUGCGAAUGCUGACAUAAGUAACGAUAAAGCGGGUGAAAAGCCCGCUCGCCGGAAGACCAAGGGUUCCUGUCCAACGUUAAUCGGGGCAGGGUGAGUCGACCCCUAAGGCGAGGCCGAAAGGCGUAGUCGAUGGGAAACGGGUUAAUAUUCCCGUACUUGGUGUUACUGCGAAGGGGGGACGGAGAAGGCUAUGUUGGCCGGGCGACGGUU